CUUGACUGUAGUUUGGAACAGGGUUCGGGCUUUUCUUGCGCAGCCUAGGUGGGAGGCUAUGAAGAUUUCCUUCCGGGGAAGUUGGAGCCAUCAGUGAGAGACCACUCUGGAGAGGCUAGAAUCCUAAUGGUGAUCCUUGAAUCAGGACACUUGACAGUUUCAGGUGGGCAGUUUUUCUGGGGCGGAAGCCUCAUAAAGGGUAACUGAGGCGCGCAAAGGUCCCCUCAGUCUGGACGGAAAUCAGACAACGAGUGUAAAGGCAAAAGGGGGCUUGACUGCAAGACCUACAAGUCGAGCAGGAGCGAAAGCUGGCCUUAGUGAUCCGACGGUACCGUGUGGAAGGGCCGUCGCUCAACGAAUAAAAGUUA
rnacentral:rRNA from 1 species